rnacentral:rRNA from 1 species
UACGUAGGGCGCAAGCGUUAUCCGGAAUUAUUGGGCGUAAAGAGCUCGUAGGCGGUUUGUCGCGUCUGCCGUGAAAGUCCGGGGCUCAACUCCGGAUCUGCGGUGGGUACGGGGCAGACUAGAGUGAUGUAGGGGGAGACUGAAUUCCUGGUGUAGCGGUGAAAUGCGCAGAUAUCAGGAGGAACACCGAUGGCGAAGGCAGGUCUCUGGGCCACUACUGACGCUGAGAAGCGAAAGCAUGGGGAGCGAACAGG